GCUGGUAUGGUUCAGUGGUUGAGCAUCAGCCCAGGAACCAAGAGGUCAUGGGUUCAAUUCCCAGUCCCGGCA
rfam:Myotis brandtii contig310083, whole genome shotgun sequence.